rnacentral:lncRNA from 1 species
ACUACUAUUAUUAUUUUGAUGACCUUUUUAUCUUUUCAUGUUUUUAUAAAUAAAUGAACUAAAAUUAUUAUGCUAGAAACAGAACCCAUUUGUAGAAGCCCAAAUUGCUCGGGCCCAAUUACAAUUAAACUCACUAACCCCUAAAAUCCACUUACAACCAUCAACCCAAUUUAACCUAAUUUCUAACCCAAACCCCUUAACCCAUUUUUAAACCCAAAACCCGAAUGGCCCACUAAAGUAUCAGCCAACCCCAAAUCCAACUAAACCUACACUAACCCAAUUACCCAUUAACCCAAAACUACCUUAACCCAAAUUGAUAGCCCAGACUUUAGCCCAAUACCCCCAACAUUAUCACAAACCCUAGAAACCCUAGGUUAGCCGCCCCAACCACUCCUCUGACAUCUUGCACCGGCCACCAUUGCCUGCAGUACGCCACCAUCCCCUCAUCACCUGCCCUCUGCACCUACAAAAGAAAGAAGAUGGGACAGAAAGAUAGAAAAAUAGCAACGUAAAUGGCUAUAAAAGCCAAUCUAUAUUUUUGUAAGGGGGGAAUUUUUGCUAUCAAUACAAAGAGGAUUUUUGCUCUUUAAAAAAUACAAAAAAGAAAAGACCAUUCGGCAGUUCAAAAUAUACAGAAAUAAUAAUACAAACAAUAUUUCAAGCAAACAAAAGAGAACGUCACAGAUCAAAGAAUCAGAGGCUAAAAAAAUCAAAAGGUGAUCUCUGUUUUUCUAUUUCUAUUUCUAUUUCGAUUUUUUAAAACCUGUUUUAAUCUACCAUACAUAUUUUAAAAUAUAAUAAUAAAACGAAAAUAACAAAAAAAAAACUAACCUUUUCGAUUUUUCGGCCACCGUGUACGGUGGCCCGCGCCGACGCCGGCUACGAGCCGAUGAUCGGCCGAUGACAUGCCCCCUGGCCGGAUAUCCCCCGGCCGGAGCUCCCUCUCCUUUUCUCUCUUCUUUUUUUUUUCUUUCUCCCCUCUCAAAUGUUUUUUUUUAAAUUUUUUUAACUUAUAUAGGGGACCACCCCCCCCCCCAGUUAAGCUAAAAAC